CUACGGGUGGCUGCAGCGGGGAAUAUUGCACAAUGGGGGAAACCCCGAUGCAGCAACGCCGCGUGGAGGAUGACACAUUUCGGUGCGUAAACUCCUUUUAUAGGUCAAGAUAAUGACGGUAGCCUAUGAAUAAGCGCCGGCUAACUCCGUGCCAGCAGCCGCGGUAAUACGGAGGGCGCAAGCGUUACUCGGAAUCACUGGGCGUAAAGAGCAUGUAGGCGGGUUAAUAAGUCAGAAGUGAAAUCCAAUAGCUCAACUAUUGAACUGCUUUUGAAACUGUUAACCUAGAGUGUGGGAGAGGUAGAUGGAAUUUCUGGUGUAGGGGUAAAAUCCGUAGAGAUCAGAAGGAAUACCGAUUGCGAAGGCGAUCUACUGGAACAUUACUGACGCUGAGAUGCGAAAGCGUGGGGAGCAAACAGGAUUAGAUACCCCUGUAGUC
rnacentral:rRNA from 1 species